AGAACCUGCCUGGAGAGAGGAGAACUUUGACUCUCCCCACCCUCAGCCCCACCCACCCAGGGCAGGAGUUGAGGGUACCCCUACCUGAAACCAGAUUAGCCCUGAGCUAACAUCUGCUGCCAGUCCUCCUCUUUUUGCUGAGGAAGACCGGCCCUGAGUCAACAUCCCCGCAACUCUUCCUCUACUUUAUAUGUGGGACACCUACCAUAGCAUGGCGUGCCAAGCGGUGCCGUGCCCGCACCCAGGAUCUGAACCAGCGAACCCCAGGCUGCCAAAGUGGAACAUGAAAACUUAACCACUGCACCAUUGGGCUGGCCCCUUAAGUUAUUUUUGUUGAGUUCAGUAUUUGUAAGAAUUUUACUAAAAUUUUAAAAUAAUCUUUCCCCAACAUGACAAAAAUCCUCCAAAAUGUUCACAUAUAGAAGUAUUUGAGUUUAGAAACCUACAAAUCUAAUCAUAAUUAUUAUCUGUGCUACAUACAUGCAUUAGGUAUUGACUCUAAAAUAACGAGUAAUAUUAAGCACUUCUUACCUUAUCCCAAAAUAUUUUUUUCAUGGCACCUGCUAACAUUAAAAAAAAAUCUUGUGUAUUUCAUCCCUUGAGUAACGUGUAAUAGUUUUUUGGUGCUGAUAUUUGAUUUCUGUAUAAAUGUUCUUCCACGAUGUUACUGAAUUUUGCCAAAUGAAUAAUAUUCUGAUUUCCACACUCUUAAAAUUGGGUGUCUGAAUGCUAGCUAUUGCCUCACCAAAACAGAAUCAUUUAUAUAAUGUUUUUAACAAGAGCACACCAAUAUCUUUUCCCAUUUUAUAUAGUCUCUCUUCUGCAGCACCACCUUUCGGGGUGUCCCAUAUAUCUCGGUUGCUCUUUUCUGUGUUUUCUCUCCUUUUUUUGCCUGUACUUUAAUCUCAAUACUUUCUGCUGCCUGUCUUCCAGUUCAUUAAACCUCUGUUCUGCUGUUUCCAAUCUGCUAUUAAUCCCAUCAAAUGAAUUCUUUUUUAAUAACAACUUGAUUGAAGUACUAUACAUACAAUAAACUGUACCUAUUCAAAGUGUAAAAUUUGAUGAGUUUAGACAUAUGUAUACAUCCAUGAAAACACCACCAUAAUCAAGACUCAGAUCGUUCUCAUCACCCUCAAAAGUUUCUUUGUGCCUCUUUACCUCUCGUUUUUCUCUCCACAUCUGGUCCCAGGCAACCACUGAUCUGCUGUCAUUAUAGAUUAGUUUGCAUUUUCUUGAAUUUUAUAUGGAAUUAUACAGUACGUAUUCUUUUGUUUUUGGCUUCUUUCUCUCAGUAUAAUGAUUUUGAGAUUUGUCUACAUUGUUUAGUGUGUUGGUGAUUCAUCCCUUUUAAUUGCUGGGUAGUAUUCCAUUUCACGGAUUUAAUGCAUUUUUGUUCAUCCAUUCACCUGUUGAUGGGUAUUUGGGUUGUUUCCAGCUUUUUGAUACUGUGAAUAAAGCUGCUAUAAAUAUUCUUUUCCAAGUCUUGGUGUGGACAUAUGUUUUCAUUUCUCUUAGGUAAAUACUUAUGUGAUAGUUUUUUUUUAGGUGUUAACUUUUUGAAGUGAAUAACUUGUCCUCAGUUAUUCUACACUAUUCAACACUAAUCUAAGUGCUGCUAUGAAGGCAUUUUUUGUAGAUAUGAUUAAAGUCCAUAAUUGGUUGACUUUAAGUAAGGGAUAUUAUCCUGGAUAAUCUGGUUGGGCCUGAUUUAACCAGUGAAAAGUCCUGAAAAGCAGAGUUCAGGUUCUCCCGAAGAAGAACUUCUGCCUUGGGACAGCAGCUUCAGCCCUUGCCUGAGUCUCAACCUGAUCUUCCUGAUAGCCCGUCCUAUGGAUUUCAGAUUUGCUUAACCAGUCCUCCUCCCCAC
ensembl:lncRNA